ACGUGCGCGCGAAGACGUGGGGACGCAGGCGGGUCGUAGAGAGCGGAGCCUCUUAAACAGAAUCUUACCUGUAAAACUCAGGAGCCGAGAAGCUUUAAGAACAGUGAGGUUGAAGGGCACAGGCUCUUGGUCCUUGGCAGCGAUAUUAGGAGGCGUGCCUAGGGAACCUCGGAUUCCGGGGAGCUGGACGUGAAACUCUGUGGUGGAAUAGAAAUCCUCAGGGCAUGAGCUAUACCUAAAACGUAAUGGUAUUAAGAAUUCUGGUUCAGCCGUCUGUAUAUCUCCCCAGAUACCUGAAACUGACCACCUGAGUACGUUUUCCCAUUGCUGAGCUGUUUCCCUGAUAUCUGGCCAUGCAACGGAGAUCAAGA
rnacentral:lncRNA from 1 species